UAUUUUUAGAGAGUGAAAAGAACUGAAGUUCCGUGACUGAGUAGAAUUUAGUUGAAUAAACCUCCCCGUUUAUAGGCUGCACAGUGUCUCGCCAAGUAAUAUAACUUGAUUGUUACCCUUACUUCGCAGACUAUGUACCCCGUGUAGUUCAUUAUAUAAGUCAAGGCGCUUAACAACUAAAUAUAUAACGAUAACAGUUGCGCGAAUUCAGCUAUAUUCAUAAUAUUUUUUGAGGAAAUAACUACAUUAAAUACAAGAAUGGACUCGUCUGUUAGUGUUUGCAGGAUGAAAGACAUUGUGCGUCAACUCAACAUCGAGAAAGACAUCAAGCGUGAACCUGUUUCCACUGUGUCAAGUGACUUAAUGGAAUAUUGUCAAAAACACUUUCACGAAGAUUUUCUGGUUUCCCAGCAAUCACCAAAUCCUUUCAAGAAGGGGAAAAAAGACUCCUGUACAGUCAUGUGAUAUUUUUUCUUACUGAACCACCUAUCAACAAGUUAUUGGAAAAGACGCUUGCACGUACAUUUUAAUUCAUCAUUCAAGCUAAAGAUUUUAUAAGUUUAUAAACUCAAAAUAUAUCAUGCAUCGUACGAACCUACCUGAAUUUGUAAUGACAUUGGCUGAUUCAAUAUGUGAAUUGAUGUCGUCAUAUACCUGACGAACCCAUAUUUAAAAUUUUGAACAUGUAGUACGCAUUCAUGAAAUUUUCCUGACUUUUUGAAGCUAUAUGAGUGCACCAGAAUGCAACGA